ensembl:lncRNA
CGGCGCCGCUCGCUCCUGCCGGGAGCCCGGGCCGCCAACUCCGAGCCGGGGCAUCUCCUCCGGCCGCCCGGGACAGACCGAGGGAUGCGGGCAGGGACGGAGGGAGGGAUGCGGGAAAGCGGGGGUGGGCGCCGGGCGGACCCGGGGCGGGGGGGCGGGCGCGGAGCGGGGCCACCGGGGACGCGCCCGCCGGGGCUGGGACGUGCCCGAAGCGAUGGCAAAGAGCAGCCCCCCCUUCUCCUGACCCCGUCCUUUGGGGUGAUGCCGGCCGGGAGAGGGAUGCGGGGAGGAUGCGGCAGCACCCCGAUGCAUGGGCCGCGGGCAGCCGCUCGUCUCCGUGCGACAGCGCUGCGGGCGGGCGCCCUGGGGACAGGGAGGGCAGCCCUGAAAAACGCUUUUCCCCACACGCCCCCGGGAGCUGCGGGCGGCUCGGGGCUCUCGCAGCCUCGGCGGCCCCGGGGCAGCGCCAGGCCAGGAUGGAGCAGCAGCGCGCAGGCUGUUCAUCUGAACCUCCUUCAGAUCACCUGCAAGCCUCUCCAGCUUAACCAAAAGAUGACUAUUCUGUUGAAGAUCUACCUAGGAUUGCAGAAAGUGGUGCCUAAUGUUCUGCUAUACAGUAAGAAUACCAUAUAAUUGAGUUCCAUGAUUGCUAAUCUUAUUUUCCAUGCUGACCCUAUGAGUGCAUG